AUCAAUGACAUCCAUCUAAACUAAGAUGAAGGAUAGCAAAUCUUUGUUAUAAAAGAAAUAUAAUUCAAAAAAGAUUACAUACUAUUUCUUAUCCUUCUUUAUAAUUUUUAUAUAUUUAUAGCUCUAAAGAGAUAGAAAAUCAAUAAUUAGAAGAUUUUACUUAAUAGCUAUUGUUUGUUGAAUUAUUAGAUAAGACAUUGUAACUAUCU
rnacentral:lncRNA from 1 species